rnacentral:rRNA from 1 species
UACAGAGGUGGCAAGCGUUGUUCGGAAUUACUGGGCGUAAAGGGCGCGUAGGCGGCCUUCUAAGUCAGACGUGAAAUCCCCAGGCUUAACUUGGGAACUGCGUCUGAUACUGGGAGGCUUGAGUGCGGGAGAGGGAUGUGGAAUUCCAGGUGUAGCGGUGAAAUGCGUAGAUAUCUGGAGGAACACCAAUGGCGAAGGCAGCUCGCUGGAACGGUACUGACGCUGAGGCGCGAAAGCGUGGGGAGCGAACAGG